AAAAAGGAAAAAAAAAAAAAAAAAAAAAAAAAAAAAAAAAAA
rnacentral:ribozyme from 13 species